ensembl:snRNA U6 U6 spliceosomal RNA
CUACUCCAUUUAGCAGCACAUAUACUAAAAUUGGAAUGAUACAGAAAAGAUUAGCAUGG